CCGCGCGCCCUCAGCAGCCUUUCAACUGCCGCUAGAUACACAUACACACACCUCGCCGCCGCAUGACGUCAACUUGAGGCCACGCCUCUUGGUUUUUUUUUUUCGCGCGCCCAUACGCUCCACCGCUUUGGCUCUCUCUCCCUCUCUUUUUUUUUUUGAGCGCAGAAAUAAAAGGGCGUGAAAGCGCAUGCGCGAGGUCUUAAAGGGGACGCGCAUGCGGAUCAGUUUUGGAAGCUCAAGGAAAAGGGAGUAGUAGGAAGAGGAGGGGUGGUGGACGUGCGAGGAGCGAGGAAGGGAAAGUACAGCGCGCACUCCGCAGAGGGGAGCCCCCGCCUCGCCUCUCCUCUCCCCCUCCCCUCCCGGAGGCUUCCCGCUAUUCUUUCCCCCUGCUUUAGCCUCCAUUGGAUUGCAGUGCCAUUCUCUCCCCGCAGCAAACAUGUUUUUGAACCUCUGCUGUUUCUCACAAAGUGGGACCAGUCUCUCUGUAGGCCUGCCUUUAUGUAUAGACAUGCACUCACACAGAGACAUCAUAUGGGCUUAGCUGUUUGACUAUGUGGAUAUGAUCAAGGGUGGAGUAGCCGCAUCUAAAGCUUGCUUGUUCCCUGUUGAUUUCUAUAUCUUGAGAUAUUCUUUGUAGCAGGAUCCUUGUGAACAUUACCAAAGUCAAAUAUCUUUUCAUCCCUUCCCUUGUGAAACAGGACCAUCAGGCGCAUUCCUGGCCUCUCCGUAUCCAGAGUCCUUGUGUUUAUUUUGGGUGCCGUACAGGUCAUUGGUGUGGAGGCCCAACCUUGGAGAAGGGAGCUGCAAAGAGGAACCAGAAAAGAAAGAUUCAGCAGAACACAACCGCUACCGACAACACAAACAGAAGGUCAUAGGCGGAGAUAAUUGGGGAGAUGCAGCAGUUCCUAGGUUCCUUGCAGCUGUUUUUUCUAUUCAUGUGAGUCAUUAGUUCCUGUGAGAAAUGCAGCUCAAGCAUGGUAAUGUGUAUUGUCUUUCCUACUUCAGAACCACAGUUCCAAACACAGGGAAAGUGAACUCUGAUUUCACCCAGUGAAAAAAUAAACCCAAUUUGAAAGAAUACUCAGAGCCACUUUCUGUGUGAUGCCUUUCCUCCCUAGAUUAAUUUUGACAUUUUCUUUGUCACAUUUCCAUGGCAAGAGGGAGUCCUCAAGGAAGCUUGUUGUUGUUUUGUUCCUUCAAAUCAUUUAUCUAUCAUAUUUUUUUCUUGUCAGAAUUUAUUUUUGCUUCCCUCUGAGGCUGAGAGAGUAUGACUUGCCUAAGGUCACCCAGUGGGUUUCCAUAGCUAACUAGGAAUUUGAAUCCUGGUCUCCCAAGAUUAUACCACCAUUACACCACACUAGCUCUCUCAAGAAAGCUUACAUCAUAUUAAAAACAUAAUUACUGGAUGUGUAUGUCAGGGAACUUUACUAUACUACUAGAGCUGAAGAAAAGAUUGUGUUAACACCUGCAAGAAUGUCAUCCAUUAUCUUACCAGUUAGCAAUCUUGUAGAUACUUGGACUAAGAUCUGCUGAGGGCAACAGGACAUAUUUGAACCUCUAUAGAUUUGGACUUAUGGCUAAAUAUGUCAAAUGUGUUAUGUUGUCUCCCUACUCCCAAAUAGUGAUGUAUGCAGAGACAGAGGGUGCAUUUACACUGUAGAAUUAAUACAGCUUGACACCACUUUAAAUGACAUGACUCAAUGUCAUGGAAUCGUGGAACUUGAUUUUACAAGGCUUCUUGCUUUCUCUGCUGGUGCCUCAUCAAACUACAAAUCCAAGGAUCCCAUAGCAUUGAGCCAUGACAAUUUGAAAGUGGUGUCAAACUGAAUUAAUUCUACAGUGCAGAUCUUCCUUUAGUUCUUCUUUAAUGUGUACAUAUUACCAAACACACCAUAGUGAAUCCAAACAAUAAUUCUAACAAGCAACAUAUUCCUUGGAUAAUGAUCUGCACAGCUCCCCUGAUGCUUGUCCAGUUUUAAGUACAUAGAAACUACGUAUUAGCUAUCUCCCAUCAUAUAGCAAACUACUUUUUCUCAGAAACCCAUUUCCAGGAACCUCACCUCACCCCUACAAGUAAAUUACGUAUUCAGUAAUUUUCUUUUGUCAAGGCUAUGAUCACUUAUUCACAGUUAUUAAAUCAGCCACGUCUAAGGUUGCCUCCACUGGAAAAUAUGUUUGAGAUUAUGUGUGUUGACAUGGAGACUCCAGUAAUAGUAUUUGAUCCUCAAAAGCAAAUUCACACAAAUAGUUUAGUCUUCCCUACUACGAGCGAUUACCAUCACUUGUACUUAAUUUGCAGAGUGUUGGAGUAGGAAGUUUUCAUUGUAAGUUGUUAUCUACCGGUGCAUAAGUGAAGGGGCGUCCAGGUUUUCAGCAACCUCUGUGAACUAUUUCACAUAGAACCUUUUUACAUUUGUACAAACAAAACAUUUUGCAAACUGUUUCCUAGGAACUGAUUCCUAGAUGGAUCUGCACCUAGGCAAAAUGGAAGGGUAUGUGAUGGCUGCUGUCUCUCCUACAAUUGAUAAUGACUUUGUUGAUUGCUGUUAGGAUUGGGAGAUACAGGAAAAUCUUAGCUGCAACUGGGCAUGAUGGAGAGAUAUCUGAUAGUUGUAUUAAAUUCUAUCUUGCACUAGACAUAUAUAGAGACAAAUAUACUGCUAUAUACAGGUUUAUUAAAGUUUGUCAGGGAUAUAGUUGCAGGGGUGGGGUAAAGGAGGGUAUCCAUCUAAUAAGAAUUCUGCCAAUCCAAGUGAAAUUUUCCUUCAGUCUCCUACCUUUUGGUAUUUAAGAGAGUAAGACACUGAAAAUAAUUUACACCUAAAACUCAUGUAUUUGCCGUGUUCAUAUUUUGAUAACUGUGCCUCUUCUUUCCUUUGGAUAUCGAUACUGAACUUCUGGAUGCUCAACUGAAAUGUAAAGUUACCGCAGUGUUAGAAUUGCUUCUUAUAUGAUAUUGAAUGAUUUUAGAAAAAAAUUCUUAUGGGGAGGUGAUGCCCUUAUUUUCCAACAUGGUACAUGGUACAUGUACGUCAUGGUACACUGUCACUUCUGACUUAGAUGUGGGUUCGUUAAAUGAUUUGUCAUCAAAAACAACAUUUACAGUUCAUAAAGCAAUGUGGCACUUUAGAAGUUGCUAUUAUGUUUGAGUUAUACACUCCUUUCUGUACCUUCAAUAAGGCUACUGUGUUGCGUUGCUCACUUUCUUUAGGAUGUAUGCAACUCUUAAGUAUUCUGAUAAGCAGAAAAAGGUGUUCAGUUUACAUUGCUGGAGCAAUCAGCACUCUGGAGAGCGCUUGCCACUUUGUUUUGUUUAGUUAUCAGCAGAUGCCUGGAAGAAGUACAAAAGGAAAUUGAACGUUGACGUCACUGCAGAAUGGACCUGAUGAGGGACAGAAUUGAUAAGAUGAAGGCCAGUGAUACAACUGAGGCUCUAAAUGAGUCCAUUUGAAUUGUUUUUCCAUAUACUCUCCACCCUUUCUUCUCUUUAUAGGAUCUGUAUGGGCCUAAAUAUCCCGAAGGCAUCAGAUCCUAUUUGAUCUCGGAAGUUAAGUAGGGUCAGCUCUAGUUGGAACUUGGGCGGAAGGCUGCCAAUGAAGGCUGCAAAUAUAGCUAUAGGCUGUAUUUUAGAGAAAGGAACAGGUAAAACCACAUCUUAAUGUUUCUUGCCUCAGGAAACUGAAAUUUAGAGGUUGCCAUAAAUUGACAGGAAACAUGAACCAUAUGACGUUCAUGUGGUCACCAUUUGUUGACAGGGGACUUGAAGGCACACACACACAGCAACGCAACCGGUUAACUUAAUUCCCCUUCAUUCAUUUGUUAUGUUCCACAACUUUUUGUACAACAUUGUAAUCUGCAUUUAUUUUAUCAGUUUACUUUUAUUCACUUCACAUUUCCACAUUUUCAGUCAGGAAAUCAGGCAAAAUGUUAAGCAUCAGGUAAAAAUCAUUUAUUUUCAUCGUUUAUGUUCACAGAACAUCACUUCUUGUUCAAGGUUUCUAGCAAAUGCAACAACUUUGGAUGAUUCAAAAUUGUAUUGACAUUUUUCUGAUAGAGAAUGGAUAAAAUCUAUUGUCCCCUAUAAACUCCUUAUUAUUGCCUAUCAGCUUCAUAAAGACAUUCUUAUAAGGCAUGUAGAUAAAAGAAAGAUGAGGUAUUCCUAUGGUGUAAUCAUCUCUUAAGUGGGAUUGAGAAAAUGAUGUAGAGAUGGGGCCAAAGCUGUUUUGAUUUUAUUUUUAGUCAAGAAAUAGUGAUAAGAUUCACAAAUGCAUGUUCACUCUUGUCUAAAGAUCAAAAUGGCAUCCUCUCUAACAUCAUUCAACCAGCAGCUGAAGACCUAUUCAAGCAGGCUUUGGUGAAUAAAUCUAGGCUGAUGAGAAGAUCAAUCCUCAUUGGAUGAUGUGAAGUGCAAUAAGCAAAAAGUGCAAUAAGUUCUGACAAAACACCACAAUAACAUUUUAUUGGUUUUAAAAUGUUUAUGUUUGUUUUAUUGAUUGCUUAUUAUGUUUUAUUUAUUUUUUAUUUAUUAGCAACAUUUAUAUCCCGCCCUUCUCACCCCGAAGGGGACUCAGGGCAGCUUACAAUAUUAUAUUAUUAGCAUAGCACAAUAUAAGCAUUAUAUAUUACUAUAUUGCACUAUACCACUAUAUUGCAAUAAUAUUAGUUUUGUAUUUGUAUUUUGAUUGCUGCUGAUUUUGUAUUGUAUUUCACAAUACUUUAUAUAUUGGAAGCCGCUUUGUAAGGGAGAAAGGCAGGAUAUAAAUAAUAAUAAUAAUAAUAAUAAUAAUAAUAAUAAUAAUAAUAAUAAUAAUAAUAAUAAUAAUGUCAAAUUGAAUUGCUGCAGAAUGCUGACUGACCAUUGGAAAAGAAGACCAGGGAAGAGCAAUCAAAUGCCCUAUUUGACGCAAGGUUAAGGAACCAAUAACUCUCAACCUGGGUUUAAAGCCCUCUGGAAAUUAUCAGUGCAGGUUUCUGUCAGACUUAUCUGUCUCUUUCCCACAAGGCCACUUGGUAGAGAGGGAAAGGGAAAGGAGAGUAGCAGAACCAGAGAAAAGGAAAUAGCUGAACUACAGACAUAUUCACCACGAGCUUCAGCAUCAACCAAUGCCAGCAGGGAACAUUUGAUGGUAUGCUAUACGCUAGUUGGUAUCCAACUUUGACCCUCCAGAUAUUUGGGACUCCAACCCCCAGAAGCCCUGGCCAGCUUGUUCAAUGCUCAGGAAUUCUGGGAGCGGAAGUACAAAACACCCGGAGAGGAAAAGGUUGGACAUCACUGGUCUACAGUCAAAGGGACUGCAACCACAGCUAAAUAAAAGGUUGCCUUUUGUUGUUCCAAGUUGAACCAAACCUUUUCCAAUCUUGGACCCAAUCAAUUCAGAGUUUUCGCUCUGGGAAAGCUCCCACAGAACUCAGAGCAGGUGUGAAAUAAAGUUUAUUUUCAAAGUGCCCCAAACAUUGGGUCCACCAACUGCAUCCAUGAUAUGCUGGUGACGUGUAAGGGAAACUGUCAUUACACGAUUUCUCAAUUGAGUAGGGGUAUAUGUUCUCAGGAGCUGGCCUACGGUUCUAGCAUUCGAAUAUAACAUUAAAUGGACCACAAACCCAUUGCCUUGUGAACAGCAACUACUCAAGACCUCCACUGCAGCUGUAUUGAUGCUUCUCCAACUGCCCAUUAGUUUCUACAGGUUUCUACAGCACUACCUGGCACACUAGCCAUCUCAUUACAUUAUGCCAAUGCAUCUUCUUGCAGACACUUACAUUUUAAGGCAGCAUAUUUAUCCUACACCAUUACUUCAUUCACCUAAUAAUGCCAAGGCUUAAUGUGUCAGACUCAGAUCAAUGUUUAACCAUGCAGCAGAACUAAGAACAACCUAUUAAAUCUUUUGUUAAUAUGCGAACAUAAUUUCCUAAUAUAAUUUCCUAAUAAGAUGAACAGAUUAAUGUUAAGCACAUAUGAAUUCGAAAUAUUUACUUCAUGCUCUUCAGUAUGUGCCAAAGAAUGAUCUUAUCUGUAAAAUUUGGCUUCUUCAGUAUUACUGCAGCAGCCAAAUGGCAGUGGGGUCUUUGUUGGAAGUAUCUGACCAAAAAGUGGACAGCUAUCUGGCAGGAAACUAUAGCUGCAUUGCAGAGCUCAUUUCAAGCAGACAGACCCAUUGGCUUCCAAUAUCACUUCCUGUUUGAUGAAAUGGCAGUCUUCAUGACUGAAGUUUCUAUGCUGCUUACGUCAGCCAAAAAGAUUAUAAAGCCAGGAAGCUGGUCAAAUAACAGUAUAUGGAGGAUGGAAAUUAUACCUUUUGUUUGGGGGGGGGGGGGUUACUUCAGUUCCCAGUAUCCCCCAGAUAACAUGGCUAUGAGAUUCCAGGACAAAUGUUUCUCAUUUUGAAUGUAGUCACGUGGAGCCAGCAUGAUGUAGUGAUUUGAGUGUUGAGCUAAGACUUCAGUAGAUCAAGAUUCAAAUACACACUCACCCAUGAAAACACACUAGGUGAAUUGUGAAGCUCACAAUAUCUGAGCCUCAAAGGAAGGCAACGUUGACCCUCUUUUGAAUAAAACUUGCUAAGAAAACUUUGAAAACAAGAGAGCCAAAUGUCCAUAUACAGUAGAGUCUCACGUAUCCAAGCUAAACAGGCCGGCAGAAGCUUGGAUAAGCGAAUAUCUUGGUUAAUAAGGAGGGAUUAAGGAAAAGCCUAUUAAAUAUCAAAUUAGGUUAUGAUUUUACAAAUUAAGUACCAAAACAUCAUGUUUUACAACAAAUUUGACAGAAAAAGCAGUUUAAUACGCAGUAAUGUUAUGUUGUAAUUACUGUAUUUACAAAUUUAGCACAAAAAUAUGAUAUAUUGAAAACAAAAAUGGCUUGGAUAAUCCAGAAACUUGGAUAAGCGAGGCUUGGAUAAGUGAGAUUUUGCUGUACUUAAAAAAAGCUUAUUGUGUAGUGGAAAUAAGAAGUGAGGUAAGAUAAAGCAAAGAACACACAAGCAGAACCUCAAAUGAAAAUUAAAGUCAAGCUAACCGAGCUAAUUGCCUUUUACCUGUUUGAUUUGGGCUUUGUGUUUUACACUUCAUCAAAGAAAGGAUGCUGUAUGAGAGAGCACAUUUCAUCCACCAACUAUUAUUAGGAAACAAACGAGGAGUGAGGAUACUUAUUUUACAAGAAUCUGAAUUCUGUAGCAGGCAUCUUUACAGAGACGACUUUGACCAAUGGUGCAGGACUCACAUUUUCUGUAAACAACCCUAAACAAAUAUUUUAAGAAUUAACUUUUCCCCAUUGAAAUUCCAUAUGAAAUUGCCCCUAUUCAUUCCUAUUUGCAGAGGUAGCUUUCCUACCUUUACAAAUAUCAAAGGGGUGAUUCUGAUUGGAAACACAGGGCUCAUCUCCAAAUGGGAAGGAAAUCCCAGGGUUCAGAACUGAAGCCAGCCCCCUGGGUUAUACUCCCAUCCUCGAGAGCACCAUUUGUUGUUUCUUCACCUUUUGUAUAGGUUUUUCUCUGUAAAAGGUUUGAUGUGCUUCACCCAACGUUUAGUUACAUGCAGUGAGCUUUUAACUAGAAUACGUUGUCAUUUUUGGCCUUUCCUUUUGGUCUUCUGCCCCAUCCACAGGUAUGUUGAAAGAGAAAUGGUUGGAACACUGUAUCUUAUGUGUUCAUGAAUCCCAUUUUAUGCUGACUUGUUAUUUUGUCUUGGUGUCACUAACCCCACCAUUCACUCAAAGUAUAUUGAGAUGUUUCAAUUUUCUGAAUCGAGUUGUACGGUUGCAACUGCAUAAAGUACAAGCCCCUUUACUCCAGUACUCUUUGCUAAAAACAAACCCUUGGACAGGUAAUAAAUAGUCAGCUGUUGACUCAAUGUAUUAUGGGGUGUAAUUCCUUGGAAAUAGUCUUGGAUGUUGAAACAAGCUUGACGUAGCUUCAAUUUACCAUGUUCUGGUCAGUGCAUAGAGAAACAGUGCUCAACACUUUUACCCCAUAGUUACCAAGGUCAAUAAAACCAAAGAAAGCUCAAUGCUAGACAUUCAACUCACUCCACUGGGUGAUUGGACUUAGCAUGUGCGUUGUUGGAAAUCCAAACUGCUGUUCAUGAAGUCCAUUCUGCCUUGCUUUCUCAAACAUUUACUGACUUGGUAUGCUUAAUCCAUCAUCCUGGAUAGCUUUACUCAGUCACAGCUGUCAAAGCCUCCGGUACUUCAUGAAAAACCACUAAUAGUUAUGUUUUAUGGGUAUCAUGUUAAAGUUGGCAGUUCUAGAAAAACUAGAAUUUACAUCUUUAAACAUUUUAACCUCUUUUUUUCUUGUACAAUUCUUUCAAGAGUUUGGAACAGCCUUUUAUCUCCAAGGCUGCAUGUUGUUUUGUUAUUGUUUCUGCACUUUUUGUAUUUUGCAUGUUGCACCUUGAGUAUUUUGUGAGCUGUCCCAAGCUCCUCUGGGAGAUGGUGGAGUAUAACUAAAGUUCAUUAAGUUUAUUAAUUACCUUGUAAGGAGCCCCCAGUGGUGCAAUGGAUUAAACCUUUGUACCGGUGGGACUGCUGACUGACAAGUUGGUAGUUUGAAUCCGGGGAGAGCAGGUGAGCUCCCUCUGUCAGCUUCAGUUCCCCAUGUGGAGACAUGAGAGAAGCCUCCCACAAGGAUGGCAAAACAUCAAAACAUCUUGGCGUCCCCUGGGUAAUGUCCUUGCAGAUAGCCAAUUCUCUCACACCAGAAGCAGUUUCCCAAGUCGCUCCUGAUGCAAAAAACAAACAACCUUGUGAAGAAGGUUCAACUAAAAGAUACUAUGAAUAUCCCAUCUGGGCAAGGAUUUAAAGCUAGGCUUCUUCAGGUGAAACAUCCCAGCCAUACUGGCUGUGCACCAUUCCCCAGAAUAGAGAAAAAUUGUAUUUGGGGGGGAGGGGGGAUGCAGUAUUUGCACAUUGUACUAAUGAAACUUAAAGAAAGUAAAUCAAGGCUGGGAAACUUAGAAGACUCUUCCACACAGCCAUAUAACCCAGAAGACUAAGGCAGAAAAUCCCACAUCUGCUUUGAACUGCGUUAACUGAGUCCACACUGUCAUAUAUUCUAGCUUAAAGCAGAAAAUGUAGGAUUUUAUUCAGCUGUGUGGAAGGGGCCUUAAAUCCUCCAAAGGUUUUGGAUAUUAGUUCCCAAAAACUUUAGCCACAGAGCCAACGGUAAGAGUUUAUGGGAGCUGUAGUCUAAAGCUCAUGGAAGCGUAUUUGGAUGACAACGGCUUUUCGACUUAAAAAUAGAGAUGAGCACCACCCCCCAGAGUCGGGCAUUAAACAAUGUCAGGGGAAAUCUUUAUCUUUACCUAGUCUAAAGAAACUAGAGAUAAAAUGUUCCAUGCACCUGAAAUAUAUUUACCUACAAGCAAUUUUAAACAAUGGAGGCCAAAAGACGACACAGAAACAGGACGUUAGCUAAAUGUCAGUUCUCAUUUAUUGUUUUUUGAUAAUCUUGUUUGCAACAUUUACCACAUAAAUCAUCUAAAUAAAUAGAUGCUGUACAGUCUCUUAACCAUUAUCAGUACAAAAAUAAAGCCGCACAUUGCAUCAAUUACAACUUGCUUAGAUCCUUUCAUUUGUAUUACAAUCUCUGUUUGAAGCAAACACUCAGUCACUCACAAAAAGGCAUUAAAACUUUGAUUUAUUUUUAAUCAUGUUUGGAAUUUGUUCAGCUCCCUCCCCCGCCCCCGAUACAUUCAGUUAGUCUGUACAAAAAAAAACAAAA